CGGCUCGGACGGCAGGGAGGCUCUACCCCAGGGAGCGCAGGACGCGAAGCGCAGGCGGAGAGGCGCUGCGGGCAGAGCGGGGCCCCUCCAAGUGCUCUGAGAGCCAGAGGCAUUUCUUUCAAACCUUGGCUGCAGUCACUGCGUGUCACCUGCGAUCAACACGUCAGAGCUGACAAAGCUGUUUCCGUACGAAUCCUGAAGGAUUCUCUAUUCCCACUCCUGGCUCCCCUAAAUCCUCGGUCUCAGGUAGCCAUCCAUUCUGCUAGCCUCCACUCCAGGACCAGGGAGAAACAAUUGGAAAGAAAGGAGGAGAAAUGAAGGAGUUCAUUUUCUGGAACAUUACGUAGCACCGAUUCACCAGUACAGUUCAAGUCUUUUCAGCUGCCACAGUUAUGAGCAUGAGCCCAGGAUCUGGCGUCACCAGAGCGGACCUUGAACUCUAGUGCUGCAAUUUCCUUUUUCUGUGUCCUCGAACAAGUCAUUGCACCUCCAAUAUGGCUCGUUUUUAUCUAUUAGAUGGGAAAGAGGAACAUUGUUUCCUGAAGAUAGAAUGGGAACUUGCUCAUGCACGUACUUUGUAAGUCAUGAACUGCCUCAAUCCUUUACUUGCUGUUCCCUGCAAGCUUCCCUGUUUCCUCUUCUUUUCAUAUCAUCUCCCCCCCACUUCAAGAUUCCUACUCAUUUUUCUGGAACUCUGUUCAAACAUCACGUCGUCCUGAAAGCCCUCUAGGACUGCCCAGGUUUGGUCAUGGGCCCCUUUUCUGUGAUCUUCCUUCAGCGCGAAGGGAAGGCAUGGCAGUGAAUUUUGGAGUCUCUGAAACUUGGAUUCACAAUCCUACUCUGCCGCUUUCCACAUGUGUGACCUUGAACAAGUUAGUAAAACCGUCUGAGUCCAAUUUUAUGUAUUAAUCUUAUCUUACUUCCAUUUUGGGAGGAUUAGAGAUAGGACAUAGUAGGCACAAAGGACAUAAUAGGGCUCAGUAAAUGUUGGUUAUUAUUACUGAAAUAACUUCCUUGGGUUAAGUUUCCCAUGUAAAACUUCCAAAAUUUCUUGGUUUGCUAAAACAUACUAAGUCCAUGUUUACAUUUGAAAGCUUUUGAAGACAGCUAAUGAAAAACAUAUGUAACAACUUAAAACAAUUCUUGGUCCACACUGAAAUAAUUGCAGAAUAUUUAAUAUUAUCCCAGCUAAAUGUUUAUCAAGCUAACAAAUGAAAAUCAAGGUUAAUUUUAUCAAUUUCCUUUUUUUUUUCCUGAGGAGUGUCUAGAUUCUUCUUAUUGUUUGAUUCUCUCUCCAGAUAACUGUCUAGACUAAUUUGUGGUUACCUUUUAAGAAUCUUCAGCUCAUUGGACUUUCUCCUUUCAUGUCAGAGAUUAGUCUCCUUUAUGUACACAUUAGAUACUCAACGUGCGCAUUACUUCGUCAUUUUUACAAAUAUCGUGCUUGUUUACUCUUCAUAACAAUCAUGUCAAUCUAAUGUUCAUUUUACAGAUGAGGACAUUGAGACUCAGUUGUUUCCUUCGAGAUACCAACACUUGACUGAGUCAUUACUCAAACCCUGGUCUUGACUCCAUAAUUCUGUUCUUUUCCCAAAACAAUGUUUUCUGUUGCUUGUGACCAGGGUUUUAUAAAAUAAGCUGGAAAAUUUCUUAGUGAAAGCAGCUUGCAUACAAACCAUCAUGAGGAAGUGAGAAGGAACUCAAGAGUUUUAAGCGAAUUUGCAUGUAUCUCCUUUGGGCUACUCUCCUCUGCUUUUGCCCACCUUGAAAUGCUGUUGUUCCCAGAGUUUCUUCUGCAGUCCCCCUUCUGCUUUAUCCCCAGGGAUUCAAUUUAAUCUCUUUGUGCACACCUCUCGGGGCUGCCAUGCUCAGCCUGCCCUCCCCACUCCUCCCCGGAGCUAAGAAGCAAACCUGAUCAUGUCACUCCCUGAUUUCCAGCCUUCUGUGUUGCCUCACUGCCUUUAAGAUAAAGCCCAAAGUGCUUUGCCUCAAGUACAAGAGUCCUCACCCUCUGGCCUCUCCCGACCACAAUCUCCAGCCUCGUCUCCAGCUAUUCCCACCACGCCUGUGACUUCAGUCCCUGUACGUGCUGUUACCUGAAAGCGCAUAUUCGCUCACCUCAGGUCUUUGUUCAUGCUGUUCUACCUGACGAGCCCAGCUACCAUCUGCCUUCAGAAGCCCUCUUCAUUCCUUCACCUUCUCCUGAAAGCCUUCCCUGACCUCCCCAAGUUGGGCCAUGCCAUCCGCUAUGAUAGCGCUUCUCCUAUGGUAUUCAGGAUGUUUGCUUGCCUGUCUGUUUCUCCCACAGAGAGUCUCCUUCUCUUUGAAGGAGACUAUUUCACCCCCAUACCACAGGCCCCGCACAGGACUGGCACGUGGCUGGUCAGAGUUUGCUGAAAUUAGGCACAGUCUCGCACUGCUACUUGGUGUUUUUCUAUGUGCUCAUGUCAUCUUUUCAAAAAGACGUUUAAGUUCAUUUGAGGUGAAGAAUCACUUUUUAUAUCUAUUCUCUUCCCCCUUUUGAGAGUUUACCUUAAUUGUUCAUAUUUUUGCCUCAAAAGGAACCAGGUGAGAAACUAGUAUUAACUUUUCUUUUCCACUCUAAGGAAGUUAGUACAUUAAUUUCUAUGAUGCUUGUUUUAAAAGAACUGUUACUGCUUAACUCAAGUUAUGUACACUGUCGUUAAUGUUAUUUGAAUCUCCUUAGGUCAAAUAGUCUUUUAAAAAUUCAACCAUGUAGGUGCAUUUACAUUAUGCAAGUGAUUUAUUAUGGUAACUCAUUAAAUCAAGUAGCUGAUGUGACUUACUAAAUUGAUGAACACAGCGGUUAACAUGUAGCCACUUACACCUUUCUCACGGGCUGUCUAGAAAACAAACUUCCCGUCUUGAUCCCCAUCCAACUCCUUCAUUCUAGUUGAUCACUGAUUUAUUGGUCUUUUCUCUGUGAGCAGUAACCAAAUUUUUAAGUAUUGCAUUUUCUUCCCAUCACUAACUACAAGAUUGACCAAAAGCAACAUCCCUGUUGAACAUUUACUUUUCUUUUACGGUCCACAAGAUCUAGACCCCAUUCACAUGUUCUUUGAUUUUUCCUUUUUAGGUCUUUUUAAAAGAAUUAUGUGACAUUUAAUGAAUGCAAAAAAGCCCUCAAAACAUAAUACAGUGAACACAUGUUUAUCCACCAACCAGCUUAAGAAAUAAGCUAUUUUCAAAACAGUUGAAACCCCCUAUAAUCCUUCUCGAUCCCCUUUUUGUCUCUUUGCGGUCCCAGAGCUAAGUAUUAUCUGAAUUUGGGGCUUAUUGUUGUCUUUCUCCAAAUAUUACUUUUAUGCCAUAUGUAUAUAUCCCUACAAAUUAUUCUGUUUAUUUUGUUUUUUGAACCUUAUAAAAAUGUUAAGACUACAAAUAUUCCUCUGAAGUUUUCCUUUAUUCUACAUUCUGUUUUUAAGAAUCAUUUACAUAUUUGUGUACAGCUGGAGCUCAUUCAUUUCACUGCCAGAGAGAAUUCCACUGUACAAACGUACUUUAUUUCUCUUGCCGAUGAACGUUGGGAUUGUCUCCAGUGUUUCCAGUGCUGGUAUGAUCAUCUGUAUACAUGUCUUCCCAGCCACCUGUACACAGAUUUUCUUGAGUACAUCUCCAGGAAUAGAAUAGCUGGUAAUAGGGUAUUUGCAUGUUCCGUUUUAAUUCAAGUCGCUUUUCUCAUCAGCAGUCGGUCACAUUUUCUGUUCCACAUCCUCAACUACAUUUGUAUUGCCAGCUCUUAAAAGAUUGCUAAUAUGAUGAGUGUUGUGGGCUAAACUGUGUCCUCCCCAAAUUCAUGUGUGAAGUCCUAACCCUCAGUACCUCAGAAUGUGACCGCAUUUGGAGUUAGGGUCUUUAAAGAGGUAGUUAUGGUUCAAUGAGGUCAUUAAGGUGGGCCCUAAUCUGAUAGGACUGGUGUCCUUACAAGAAGAAGAGAUUAGGACACAGGCAUGCACAGGGGAGGACUGUGAAAAGACAUGGGGAGAAGACAGCAAGCCCAGGAGAAAGGCCCUCAGAAAAAAUCAACGCUGCCCACACCUGGAUGUUGGACUUCUAGUCUCCAGAGCCAUGCAGAGAUAAAGCUCUGUCGCUACAUUGUACACCUGAAACUAAUAUUACACUGUAUGUUAACUGAAAUUUAAAUAAAAACAAAAAAUAAGAAGUCUCUGUUGUUUGAGCCAGCUAGUCCGUGGUGCUUUGUUAUGGCAGCCCUAGCAAACCAAUGCAACGAAGUUAAAAAUCAUAGUUUUAAUUUGUAUUUCUCUCAUUUACAAUUGAGGUUGAGCAAUUUUCCAUAUGUUAAUUAGCCAUUUGGAUUUCUUCUAUAAAAUUCUUUUUUUUUAAGAUUUUAUUUGAGAGAGAGAGAGAGAGCAAGCACAAGCAGAAUGGGGCAGCACAGAAGGAAAGGGAAAAGCAGACUCUGCAUUGGAGCAUGGAGCCCAACACGGGGCUCGAUCCCAGGACCCCAAGAUCAUGAUCUGAGCUGAAAGCAGACACUUAAACGAGUCAUCCAGGCUGUUAAUCCACCAAUGGGCAGAAUUUUCAGCCAGUGUUCCCUAAAGGCACAAAUGAGAACUUAGAAAAGAACUAAAGGAGGAAAAACAACUCAUUUUGGUAAGUACCAAUUCUGACCCAAGCCCUUUGCAAAAAAUUCCUUAUCUGACCUUUCAUCAAUCUUGCAAGGUUCCAAUGACCUAGCUUUUAAAGAUAAAUCCUGGCUGAGAGAGUUUAAAUAACUCCUCCUAAAAUUACUUGGUCUGCAACCACAGAGCUAGAAUCUAAAUGCUAUUAUCUGAUACAAAAGCCUAAAAUCUGUUUGUGAUGUUAACACUGUCUUCAGAAAUCACUUGAGGCCCAAACAAAUUGGUGGACCUGCCCCCAAAGCCAAGGCUGCCAACCUUAGUAGCUUUGAAAAGUCAGUGCAGAGCCUCCUCAGAGUUUCUUCAGGACUUUGCCCAGUGUUUUGACAGGCCUACAAGGGAGUCCAGAGCUGGAAUAAGCACACUGGCCUGCAUCUCAGAGUGCUUGGGGCUCCAGGCCUGUCUCUACUGUUUACAAGCUGGCCCCUGGGUAAGCCACUUAACCUCCCCAGAUCUUGUUUUCUCCACAUGAAACAGGACACUCAAUGAUACCAGGGGAUCUUCAAAUUCCUUGGUAGGGCUUCAUUCUCAGAAUCCAAAAAUUCUACGAAGCAGCUACAUAAGGUCCUACAAGGAAGCCCCUCCCGGGCCCCAGCCAAAUCCGGAGAGUGACUUCACAGUUCCCCACCUACUCUGUUAGCUUUUCUUUCAGCCUCACUAAGCUAGAAAUGGACCUCUCAGCUCCUAAAUCAUAUCCAUGGGUUCCUGUAAGGGAGAAUCCUUCCUUGCCUCUUCCUCAUUCUGGUGCUUGGAGUUCCUAGUCUUGCACUGCAGCACUCGAUGUGUGCCUCGUCAUCUUGUGGUGUUCCCCUCUCCUGUAUCCAUGUCUCCCUGUCUCUCCUCCUCUUAUAAGGACACCAAUCCUAUUGGAUAAAGGGCACACCCUACUCCGGUAAGACCUCAUCUCAACUCAUUACAACUACAAAGAUCUUAUUUCCAAAUACAGUCACCUUCUGAGGUACCUGAGGUUAGGUCUUCAACACAGCUUUUGGGGGGGCCACAACUGAAUCCACAAUGGUGGCUGACUUAUACUUUGUCUGAUCCAUCGUCAGCAAUGCCCCCCCCCAACCCAACGUAAUAUAGGGAAGGGGGGGUGGAAUUUCAGAACCUAAACCAGGAAAAAGGUAGGAAUCCUCAUAAAAAUUGAGUCACCCAUCCCCAGCUCAGGACUCAGAGGUCACUUCUCCACCUUUGCUUCUUGAGUGGAGUGAUUUACAAUUGCUUCCUCUCCUGGGGAAAUAUGAAAGUUAGCAGCUCAGCUAGGGCUCUGCCACUUUCCUGAGGCUGCUCCAGAUUGGCGGACAGCCACCAGUGGCUGCUGAAGAGAUAAAAUCCCCUCAUCAUGAAUAAGGAAACUGCCGAAUAAAGCCUUGACUGUCAAGAGAGGAAAUCGGUUGUAAAAGUAUUUUUCCUCCUCCAUAAUGAGAAGGGCAUGUGUGGCCACACAGGGGUCUGUAGACCCAUAUCAGUACUGAGAGGAGCCCUGAGGGUCCACAGUCAGCGCACGGUGAGGGGCCCCAUGAGGAGAAUGGCCUGCCUCGGAGAGGCCUGCUAAGGCCUGAGCAGGGACCCACCCACCUCCCCAUCAACUGUGUCUCACACCUGGGACGCCCAAAUGGUGGGGUAAGAGUCAUAGGAAAUGACAAACACAGAACACUUCUUGUUGACUUCCUCAAGUGAGAGCUCCAAGACAGAUUUGAUUCAACUUAGAAAGGAAAUGUUAGCUAUCUAGCGACAUAAGUAUUGUGGAGAAACCUGUAACAAUUACAAUUAGAACUCAUAUUAUUUAACUUGUAUUAUCUCUGUAAGACAUACUAUGCACAUAAACUCUCUGUCAAGCCAAAAAUGUGAACUUUUAGUGCCUGCCACAGAUUGGGUUCCCAGGGAAGCAGACAUUGAGCUAGCGAUGCGCAUGGAGGAAGGUUAUUGGAAGGUCCUUGUGGGAGAUUCAUCAGUGGGGGUGAAGAGAGGAAAUCAGAGUUGGGUAGGGGGAGCAGAGCUGUUGUGUGGUCCCAACACAGGCCUCAGCAUGGGUCACGCAGAGCUCUGGAACCAGAAGAGCCCUGAAGGGUUGUCCCAAGCGGGGGGGUAAGGGGGCAGGCAAUUAUAGCCCCCCAUCAACCAAUCAUUGGAUGAAAACUCCCCCAGGGGAAGGGCCGUGACCUUGAUCAUGGUGGGUCCCUUUAGCUAAGGCAGUUUCUGGAGAGGAAUUUAUCUGUGACUUGUGGGCCACGAAGGGAAUGAGUGCCUAGGAACUGAAGGGGGGGGGGGGGGUCAGGAUAGCACUCCACAGCCUCCACUGUGACAGUGUUCUCACUCCAGAGUGACAUGGGAUGAUGCUCCAAGCAGGGUCUGGCCACUCAGCACCAGCUGGCAUCCUCUGCUCGUUUAGCAGAAACAUCUAAUUCCAAAGAUUCCCCUGUUUGACAUAAGCCACCAAUCCCUCAUUUAAUCACAAAGGCACUCAUGCCCCGCCCCCAACAGGAGACAAGUGAGCAUCACACUGUGGGGGCUGUUAGGGUGCAUCCAGGUGACAACCAGUGCCCUUCUAGUGACAGGUUCUUGGGUACCUGUGGGCAACAGCACAUUGGUUAAAUAAACUGAGGCCCGUCCACAGGGUAGGUCAUUAAAAUGGAAGUUGUAGAAGACUGUAAGAGAAUAAAACAGCAUGCACUGUAUGAUCCCAUUUCCGGGAAAAGACAAGACAUAUGGCAAGAGUCUAGAAGAAUGGCCAUGAAAACCGAGUAAUGGGAUUAUAGAUUAUUCUAAUCUUUCUCCUUUUACUUAAAUAUAUUUUCUGGAUCAACCCAAUAUGUUACUUUUGUAAUAGGGAAAAAAUUAGUUUUUCUCUAAAGAUUAUAGAGGAAAUUAUUUUUUUUUCAUAAGAUACAGCUUGUAAGAAGUAGGCCUGUGGCUACCUUAACCAAGUAUUGAUUUGCUUAACCGCCAGGGCCAGAAAUCAGAAAAGGGACUUUAAAUAGAGUUUGUAGGUUAACAAUGGCCACUUCAGAGCCAAGAGAUUUAAGAAAGAACAAGUUUGGACAAAAGAGAGGUUUGAAAUACCUCCCCCCAAAGUAAAAGCAAUAUCACAAAGUAAUGGCCAUGCAGGAUACCUGCUAAGCUUACGGUUUUGCUUGGUGCUUUCAUAGGACAACCACUGAAAAUACAGUCGGUGGACAAAUGAGCACGCCAGAUGAACUCUGAGCGCUGCGAGGCAAAAUGCACCCCACGCUACUUAUGCACAUGUCAAUCUAGAUCAUUGAAAUCUAUCAACUCGGGGCAAGUUAAGGAAACACAGCCUUGUUGUAGAAAGCCAUUAACAUCCUCCUCUGGGAAAAGCCCUCAGGCCUGUCACAGGAAUGCACAGGAGGUGCCCCAUUGCACCUACACACUAGCUGGUGACUUCGGCUCAGCUGAGCAUUUGUCAGGAUUCUGACCCGUUCCCAAGAAAGAAAAUCACUGACUUUGGGAAAGCACCUACAAGGAGGAAUGGUUUACUCUUAAGUGACAUACAUAGUUUUGUCUUUGGUGUUUGUUUCUUAUAUUGUUUCUUAAUUUUUAAUGCUGGUCAGCGUCCAAAAUUAAGAUGCAAUCAAUGGUUGCUCCAACCUGAGAUGUUUGUAUGGAAAAGCACAAACUGGCUUACAGUUCAUGCAAAUCAAUCUAAAUCUGCAUACUCUUUUUUUUAUAUCAGGUAACAUAUACAGAACUUCAGAGAACACUAACUACAUCUCAGUUACCAUUUUGUCUUCUCAAGCUGUGAGGUAUUUUUUCUAUCAGCAAUUAACAGAGUGAAACUUGGGCUUCAAUUGUGUCUCAAAUCUCUGUCGGUAACAACUUUUUGUCAGGCAGAUUGCACCCCAAAUCUCCUUAUUUCCAGGCUUCAGAGAUUCCUCCUCGCGGAGUGCUACCUGCUGUGCUCACGAUGAGCUGUAAUGAGCACCAUGCUUCUCAAACUACCCUCUCUGGAACUGUGAAGUCAGGUACAUUUUCCCGAAGUUUUAGGAGAAAACUUUGCCCAUGUAAUAGGACAUACAAAACAUAAAAUGUAGAUGGCUUCUUGAGAGGAAGUAUGAAGCUCCAAGACAUUUCAACUCCCACCAAAUCUCCAGAUUUUUAGUGGUACAAGCUAGCAAUCCUUUAGUAUUUCUGAAGUCUCCAUAGGAAGUCCAAGAAGCCCUGACCAAGAAUAAGAAUCUAGGAGCAGAUGGUCACCGGCAUUUGGGGGGAACAGAGCAUAAGGUAAAGGGUAGUCCUGGGGGAACUACCUCCCACAGACAGAUGUUAUUUAUGUUAUCAUCUUCCUUGGUAUUAGACAGAUUUCAACAAUUUAGUUCAGAAUCUGCCCCUAGGUCCUGUAAUGCCAGAGAGGAGUCUCAGUUUCUGCUCUCAAAGAGCUCAGUUUAGGAACUAAUAAAUCAAGGCAGGAAGGCAUGUGACAAGUCCAAAAAGGGUCCAUUUUUUUCUGGGGAAAACAAACAGUACAGGACAUAGUGGUAUUCGAUCUGGGCUUUUAGCGAUCAAAGAAUUCACCAGGUUCAGCUGUGUGGCAGGCAGAGAUGGAACGUGAUUCUCAUGGCUCUUACUACUGUCAGCAAUGUGCACUCACUGAGACAAAUUCAGUGCUCGGCCACCGACAGGAAUCCUCACGGAAACGAAAUCAACUGUCCACACCAUCGCAACAAGUGGGUCGCCUUUCCACCUCUGCUUCUGGAGUAGGGGAUUCUUCAAAUCUGUUUCUUUCCCUGGAGAAAUGUGAAAGCUCACCAAUAGGGCCAAGGCCCUGCUUCAUCCCUGAUUUGCAAAGAAAAACAGUUGCUGCUUAAGGAAAUUGUAAGGGCUCUGAAAAAAAUUUUUCUUCCCCAUAACAAACAUUAGGAAUGACAAAACUUGGUUCAGCUUAGAGAAAUUUUUUCUGGUCUCUGCAAUUAGUGUUUCCCUUAAAAACAAUUUCUUCCAAGACUGUUAGCAAGCACAAUUGGGCCAUGUCCCUGUGCCUUGUAUUCUUAAAAGUUCCAUGUGCUAUUAAGGGGCUCUUUGAAAGAGCAAUGGGCAAGGGAAAAGGCUUCCCAGCGGGCAGUGGCCAAAGUUAGUCCACCAAGAAGGGAAAACCAAGAUUAUAAAAUUUGUUCUUUGCAGGAGGAGUAGGGAAGCUAUCUUCCCCAUGUUUUACAAAACUUCCAUGUCACUUCUAAGUUCUAGAGCUAACAUUUUGGUAUUACCCUGAGCUUGAAUUUUCUGGCUUACCCCACCCUUAAAAAGAUAACAGAUAAGCAGCAAAACUUUAAUUCAUGAAGAUUAUAACAGAAGUACUACAUUUUAUACUCUUUCCCAAACAUUUCCAAUUUUAUAAUUAUAUCCCUCUCAUUACACAAAAGAGAAGUUUAAUAACCAUGUGUUCUUGGGCAAAUAAUAGAACCACAGUACCUCACUUUCAACAUUGGUAAUAACUGGGGUAAGAAUACCUAGUGCCAGGUUGUUUGAGGGCUAAAGGCAUAAAAGCAUAUAAAUUAUUUAGAAUACUAUUGCCUGAGACAUGGAAAGGGCUAAGUAAAUGGGAGCUAGUGUUAGGUGAAGGAGAAACAUUGACAUAGUAAUGUAUGUGAUGGGGUAAGAUGUUUCUUUUUACUGAUAACUCGGGUGCUUUAGCAAAUUGGAAAGCCUUUCUUUCAUUAUAGAAGUGCAAUCAGACAUUUGUCUUAAGUCAUAAAGAAUCCCCUUUUCCACUAUGUUUGAUUAGAUGACAGAGACCUAACAAGACUUUAAAGAUAAACUGUCCAAGUUGAAGAAAAGAUGGAUUCUGGAUCUAUUGGGGUAGCUGGGAUUUCCAUUUCUACCCAUAUUUGGCAUCCCUGAGGCCAAGCAUCUUGGAAAGGAGAAAGCCUCAUGGCUCCAUGGGGAGGCUACGUACCGAGCCCAUAAUUACUGAGAACAGCAGUGAAGUAAGUUCACUGUAGCCAGGCCAGCCCAGGCCGAAUGAAGCCUGAACUUGACAUUGCUGGGCCUAAACAGAGGCAUCUUUAGAGCAAACCAAUGGACUAAAGAACAAACCUACCCACAUUCCCCUGACCCUUUUCUCGGAGUUAAGACUUGGGGUCCUGGUACAGUCUAUAACCAGGGAAGGAAGCUCCAGUAAUUCCGGUAACAAGAUUUCUUGCUGCCUUUUACAAGUGAGGGCUCCGAAUGACACUUUCACACUCCAACUAGUAUGUUGUCUAUUACAUAGAGAACUAAAUAUUAUUCCAUUUUUGUUGUCUUUGAAAGAGUUUCAUACAAAAAACUGCUUUGUCAGAUCAUAUGUCAUCAAAAGUACACUUUAUUAUAAUGGCCUAGUAUCACUUAGAAGUAUGUAACACUGUGAUACAGCAGAUGCCUCAAGAAGGCUUUUGUGCAUUUAUGUUUGGUUCCAGGCAUAUAGUGACACUAUUUCUUCCCUGAGUGGAAAUGCGCAAUUUGAAAGGACCCUCCACUUGACCGAACCCAUCUAUCCCAUAUUUAGCCACCAAAACAAUCUUGUCCUCCCCAUUAAGAGAGCCAAAUGCUGUAUCAUGCGGCCCUUGUUCUCAAGUGUCUUUAGGUUGUGUUCAUUCAUUUUUUUACAUAAAAAUCCUCCUAGAAUGGGACCGGUGGACAAGAGCAGACUUGUUAAUGAAUUAAAGCACACCUAUGGGAUAGAUCAUUAAAAUCAAUGUUGUAGAAGAGUGUGAGCUCAGAAAAAUUUAAAAAGUCUGUAACACAGAACUGUACUAAGUAAUCCUAUUUCUAGAAAAAAAAAAUGUGCGCAUGGGCAAACACUGUGAGAAAAUCUACUAAAAUUAUACCAGCAAGUUGACUCUGGAUGGUUGGAUUACAGAUGAUUCUGAUCUUUCUCUAUUUGCUUAUCUGUAUUUUCUGGAUUUGCCAAAAUAAAGAUGUAUUACCUCUACAGUUGAACACCCCCCCCCCCCAAAAUAGAUAAUUCUGCCGGGAGACAGAACUAAAGCAACUUUAAGUAGACGACAAACUUGAGUAAUCAAUAGAUGAAGACAUCAGAUGGCACUUUUAAAUGGAGUUAGUAUAUUUAAAAUUGCCACUUCAGAGCCUGGGUACUUGGGAAAGGACAAAUCAGGGUAAAAGAAAAAGGCUUUCGAAACCCAGGAGGGUCGGAGUUCCCUGAAAGCUCAAGAAAAAAUGAGAAGACUGUAGUCUGUUAACAAUGUAACUGUCCCUGGCUCCCUCACAUGUCAAAUGCUGGGCCCCUUGCCAGGCAGGAAGUGACCCACACUACUUAACUGGUAUAAUAUAUACAAGAAAGUAAUACAUUUAUGUAAAAGAGGAGAAACCAAGAACCAUGAGCUGGUGGGCGGACUACAUCAGGCCCAACCCAGGGCUGCAAAUGGGAACUAGCUGCAGGAGGAGCUCAGCUGCAAGAAUCUGUGUGGGACUGAGCACUGGACAGAUGAACCUCUGCCCACUCCCAAGGAAGGAAAGCAGUGUCCCUGGGGAUGUGCACACUAGCAGGAAUAAAUCUGAGAGCUAAUUGACAAUGAGUGACAUAUUUUGAUUUUGGUUAUUUCACUUCUUAACCUUUAAAAGUAGUCAGUGUUGGGGAGCUUGGGUGGCUCAGUCAGGUGUCUGCCUUCGGCUCAGGUCAUAAUCCCAGGGUCCUGGGAUCGAGCCCCACGUUGGACUCCUUGCUCGGCGGGGAGGAGUCUGCUUCUCCCUCUCCCUCUACCCCCCCACCCCACCCUCGGUGCUCCUGCUCUCU